CCAGGGGGCACUGUGGCCACAGCCUCGCCCAUGGCAGGGGCAGGAGCCCGGCAGGUCCCUUUGACACAGGGUCAGGUCCCGGCCUCAGCUGCGUGAUGAGAAGAUUCCCAUGGUGCUGGGGUUUUGGCUGCCGGGAGGCUUUGUCCAUGGAGUGGGAGGUCACAGGGCUAGACUGGAGCCCUGAGACGACCGUCUUCAGAGCAGAUGUGGUCAGGUGACAGGAUGACUCGGUCGUCAGACUGCAGAAGGGAAGGGGUGGGGGACAAGCCAGGAGGCACCCGGAGCGGGGACUCAGCACAGACCCCGCAGCACCCAAGCGCCGUCCCGAGCCCCGCAGGGAGCAGGAGCUCGUCACCGGGCACACUGCUCCUGCCUCCCCAGGGCGGAUGUCAUCUGGCUGACGGGUCCCCGAGGCGAUCUCCGGUGCACACGCCACAGCACACUCCGAUCCUGUCCCCGCCUGUCACCUCCGCUCUCCCGCCCCGACGGUUCUGCUGGGACACCCCAGAACCCUCUCUGGAGCCACGGGGCCCUGACUGACCCUCCAGCCCUGCGUGCUUUCAUCGAUCUGCUUCUAGCUGAAGUUAAAAUCACUAAUUCCGGGCCGCACCGCCGAGCAAGGUGUCAUUCGCCUCCCACUGACCUUGCUGCACGGGGUACUGCCGUCGCUGGGCGCGAUGCUGACGGUGGCCUGGGUUGCUCUUCGGCGACACGAAGGCCACUCCUACCCAAACCACGACACCUGGCCGGAGCCCGCUCAGCUGUCUGCUGGGUGAGCCCCGGCGUCAGGGGCUGAAAACCCCCAUUUUCUGAACAUGCGGCCGUGAGGAGGCGUGAGGACGGAUCUCGCACCCGCAAGCCGCUGACCAGGGCACCUCCCGCACCCGUCCGCAUCGGACCGGCUGUGUCCUCGUUCCCCGCAGUCCAAGCCCUUCCCCCCCGGGAUCCCGCUGCCACACGCGGCCGCCUUGUGAAUAAUUCUCUGUCUUUUGCAAAACUGUCUCGCGGCUGUCACACUGCGGCGGUCCAGGAACGCCGCGGAGGCCCGGCCUGCACCCCACUUCCACUUGCUUGCUCGCUUUGAGUGUGUCGAGCCAGGCGCACACGCCCGUCCCCGACGGCAGGUCCCUCCUCCUCCUUCCCAGGCAGCCUCCUCUGCGGGUGCGUGGGCCGUGGGAGGCGCGCUGGCCGCCGGGCCGUGCACAGCCCUCAGCCCCGCCCAGCUCCAUUCCUGAGCGAGAGCCGCGCAGCGGUCCGAGAGUGCGCGCGGAGCAGCCCCUCCCGCCGGCUGCCCUCGGGCCGGUCUGCCCAGGGGCACCUCUCCUCCGGCCGACUCUCCCUGUGGUGCGCAGCGCGGCGGGCAGUGAGCUCCCCCCGCGGGGAUCCCUUCUGCUCUCAGUGAGCGAGGGGGAUAAGACGCUGCGUUUGUUGUGUUGCGUUUUGCAUCACCUUCAUUUCUCAGAAAUGGAGGAAAUGGAAUCAAAUGCUGAUCAUGCCAGCGGGGGAGAGUCCAAGGCGGACACACCCUUGCUCUAAGCUGCCGGUGCAGAGGUCUCUGUCCACAGAAGUCUGAACCACGGCGUCAGUCCCGCAUGCUGCUCCGCGCACGUGCAGAGAGCACACACCUGUGCGUCCCACGCUCCGCUCGGCUCUGCCUGCCCAAGGCCCGUGUGAGCAGUGCAGGCCUCAGUAUAACAGCGGAGGGAGGCCGGGGCGUGAGGCUGCGCCCUCGGGAACAGACUGAGGCCCUCCUCCGGGAGCAGAUCUGCUCUUCGCAAAGUGGAUUUGCUUCAGAGUGAGCGUGGCCCCUUCGUGUGCUCCCUCUUUCCACCUCUGCCUGGGACCAGCGGCCCCGGGGCUGGCGCCAAAGUCCCCGUGCAUGCUCUUGCACAGCAGCCUCCGGGGCCACGGCCACGCGCCAUUCUGCCCAUCGUGAGCGACCUAGUCAGUGGCAAAAAGGACAAAGGCACUGCGCUGUUCGGUACCUACAUAUAACACAUAUUUAAAAUGUUUUCACACCCGUGUAUGUGUGGUAAGAGGCAGAGUGAGCAAGAGGCGGGUGACGUGUAGCGCACACAUCUGUUCGUGCAUCCCUAGGAAUAACGUAAAUUUCCGGGGAGGAGAACUGUCGUGUUCCCAGCCCGGUGUCAGCUGGCUGGGUGCUGUGUCCCUGGGACUAUGCGUCAGUUCCGCGGUAGCCUGGCCCAGCAAAGGAGUCUGAGACGUCCUGAGAAGCCAGCUCACCGCCCGCUCUGUUUAAGCCCUCAGGUGCGGUGAGCCUCCGCUGCCAGCCUGCUCCGAGGACGAGAGGAAGGCGGAUCGCUAGCCUACGCUAUGGAGAGCUCGAGGCCGGCCUGCAGAGCCUUGUGAGGGAGACCCUACCUCAAAAACUGAAAGCACAUUGAGGAUGCGGGGGAGCCGGAUGUUAACAAGCAAUGCGAGAACGUGGAGGGCCAAGCCGGGCGUGACACCCCUGUGCUUCAUGGCGUGUUCCAGGGUGACACCGGGCACAGGGUCUGACCCCGAAGCAGAUUUGAUGCGAUGGCUGCAUCUGUGACUCACAGGGACGGAGUCCCCUGCGAACUGCGCGUGCCGCUGUGGGCUGUGCACAGGCCAAACGAGAUGAGCUCCUUUGCUCUGGAUUUUUUUCCCUGGAGUGCCGGUCAUCUGCAGACAAACACCAAGGUCACCCUGAACCUGGAGCCUGAGCACUGGAGUACAGGGCAGGGCCCGGGGGCAGGGGUCCCGCAGGCCAUUUAGGCCCCUCCCCAUUGUCCCAGUGACCCAGAAAACCCCUGGUUCCCAGAAUCUCCGAGGGCCAGUAGGGGCAGAAACGCAACUGACCCAGAAUGCAGUUCUGGUCGCCACUCUCAUCCUAGAGGAGCCGAGUAGUUUGGCCCCAGGGCCCCGCGCCAGUGUGGAGGUGUCCUGUGGGCAGAGAGGAUGCUGCUGGCACCUAGUGGUGGGGACGGGGAUGCUCAGGAGGACAGAAGGGCCCCGGCCUGAAGGCGCUCGGGGGACAGUGCCCGCCACAGCCUUGGCAGGGCGGAUGGGGAGGGGCCAGGGACCACGUGACAUCGUCCCUUGUCACAGCCCUCCCUCCAGGGUUGGCAGCCAUCAUGGCCCCACCUGUCUUGUGCUGAGCUCACUGUGUCUGCUGCCCCGCUACCUCACAGAGGUGGAAGCAGCUGGGCGCGGGCUGGCCAGCAGCAGAGCAGGAGCGGCGCGGGUCCUGAACACAAGUCUCCUCAGCCCACCUGCACUGCUGCAGCCUGGUCCUGGGGCACACCAAUGGGCAGAAAGCUGGGACAGGCUAGGACUCGGGCCUGCAGGUGGGGCAAUGGACAGAGGCAGGUGCCCACCAUGUCCCCCACGAAGCUAAAGCAGGCCAGGCUGCAAAGGCCCCCGUUCUUGCUAAAGGUGGGUGUCUGGGAGGCUGGGCAUGAUGGCACACAUCUGUGAUCUCAGACUAGAGAGGCUGAGGCAGGAGGGUUGCCACAAGUUCAAGGCCAGCCUGAACUACACAGUAAGACUCUGUCUCAAAAAAAUAAAUAAAACAAGAAGAAGGGAAGCAGGGAGCUCCGGGGUCAGGACUCAGGCGCCCUGGAGGCCAGGUCAGAUAGGUGCUUUAUUCCUUCUUUUGCUCUCCUUCCCUUUCUUUUUGGAUGGAAUCACAGUUGCAAUUGUCCAAACGGGAGCAGGGUGCUCUGCAAAGGUGCAAGUCCUCUGGUUCUUUGGUGAAAAGAAAUAUGCUUUUGCCCUGGGAUGGCCCCAAGUUGAUGUCUCAGGAGACAGCCAGAUUUCUGAGGUGAGGGGCCAACUGCUGGUGUGGAACACGGGGAUUUCAGUGGGACCCCAAGACCGUGCUUGCAGCCAGUGUGACUUGGGAGAUGGAGGCUUUGGGGGGCUGUGUUCUGAGGCUCUCAGAGGAUGGCCAUGGGCCCACUUCCUCUGGAAGCCAGCUUUUCUUGAGGGCAGGGCCAAGUCAGUCCCCUCAAAACAAGGGGAGGGGUGACCACGGGAGCUCAGCACCUCAUGUGGAUGCCCAGGCAGGGGGUCAUAGCACCAGCCAGGCCAGCACGGAACUCCAGGUCCAGCUGGAAGCACGAGCCAGCCAGUGCGGGGCAGGCAGCCUCCGCUCCGGGUCCAGAUUCUGCUCCCUGCUCCUCGAGCCCCCCAGCCAUCGGAGGGCCUGUAAUUAGCGUUAUGAUAAUGACAGCCUGGGUUUAUGGAGCUGCCAUCUCCACUAUGCGCUUAGUUCUCAUGCCAGCCCUUUUGAGGAUUGCAGGGGAGGCCGGGAAAGAUUAAUUGGCUAUUUGCAUGGGGGAAACUGAGGCACGGGUAGGUUAAAAGACUUGCCCAGGACACGAAGGGAAUAAAGCUGCAGAAUGAAACUCAGAUUUGGGGCUAGCACCCCGAGCGCUGGUCCCUGGCACAGAGGUCACUGACAGAGCUUCCUGAAGGACCAGGAGCGGGAGGGCACAGGCUGGCACAGGCAUAGAGCACACGGGUCCCUCCUGUGGCUGGAAAGGACACUCCGCCUUCCAAGCCCCACAGGGAGCGCCGUGCGGUGCGGCUCACCCCACCCUGCCUGAACUUCCCACCUGUGCUCCAAGAUCCAGCACCUGGCCAUGCCUAGCUACACCUUCCAGAGGGCGACAGGCGACCUUGGGUGUACGACCAGCCCAAGCUCACAGCCAGCUCGGCGUCAGCACCACAAAGUGGGUGCACCUGUCACAGAGCCCUUCCAGCCCCAGAGGGACCAGCCGGGCUUGGCCUCCUCCCCUCAGUGACUUCAGUGGUGACAGGAACCCCUGCUGGAGGAUGAGGCCUCAGAGGGACCCGAGGCUCUGCGGACAGGCAGAGUGUGAGCACCACCCAUGCCCCAGCAGAGGGGAGGGACGGGCUUCGGAGCAGACGGAUCUGUCUCAGUGGCCCUGAAAAGCGGCUACCUGAAGCCAAGAACACAGGAGAGACCAUGGCAGGGAAAACUCUCAGCGCCACCAUCCUCCCCCACACGGAGCACCCCAGGAUCCACGACGUACUGAACCGAACAAGCCCCUCCUGAGGCUUCAGCCCUGCCCGCUGCCCCCAAGGAGAGUAUGCGGCCCAGGGGGUCCCUGAGUCCAGCCCACGCCCCUGUAGCGGAAGCCUGGGGACAGCGUCCCUACCAGCCCUGCCGUCUUCCCCGGACACUGCUCCCGUCAGGAGGGCCAAGGAUGAUAUGAAGACACCAGUGUCUCUAGAACCCGGCAGUUUCAAGACGCUGUCUCUGCGCAGUGCAGGAGUGUCCAGGGAAGCCAGAGCUGCGGUUGUGGUGACAAGAUGAAGCAGCCUCCAUGGGUGACGCCGCAGGUGACAGCGGAGAAAGUGGCCUCCCUCGGGGUCUCACCUGCUGCCCUGCAGCCAGCUCUGCUGUAGCUUCCCCUGCCAGUGAGCCCAGAGGGGACACAGGUGUCGCUUGCACACUGGAGAGACCUGUGAGAACCCUCUCUCCCCGGCCAAACAUGAAAAGCUCCCUGAUGAAACCAGACACUGGGCCAGGGCCAGGAGCUGCCCCAAUCUCGGGCGCCGCAGGAGGAGCGUUGACAAGGCUGCUUCUCCUGCCCCUGGAGGUACCAGCCACCCACACAGGAGGGCAGUGACCCAGAGAGCCAGGGCCCACUCGCUGGCCAGGGCACUGGGGAGCAGCCGCAGUGACCAGGGAGGUUCUGGAGGAUUCCUGCAGGACGUGGAGGCCCCCCGGUGCCCACAUGGUGUCUACCUCCCCCCUGCAGAGGGUUUGCUAUGUGUUUACGGUACAACUUUUUACCCCACUGCUCGGCAAUGCACUCUUACUUUUGGAACAAAUCCUUGGAGCCAUGAUAGCUAAAGAUGUUAAUAAGAUGAAAAUGCACGCUAGAUCAGAGAUUAAGUUGUUGGGUUCUGCUACUGAAGAAAGUUGCCGAUGAAUGUCUUAACUGACACCAAACGUUUGUGGGCAGUUCAUCAUCUGCUGUGUCUGAGUGCGUUUUCUGUUGCUAUGACGAAAGAGCCCAGGCUGUGUACUAUUUCAUAAAGAAAGAAGGUUUAAAUCUGGCUGUGGUGGUACACACCUGUAAUCCCAGCCUCCAGGUCACCCCACCAGUGACCGCCUCUUCUCACCAGCCUCUACCUCUACUUGCUAGUGCCAUGUACAGAUAGAAAGACAUCAGUGGACCCCAUGAUGAGCUCGCCUCCCCAAAGACCUGCCUCUCGGUGCAUGAGAAUUUGAGGGGACAUUCUACAUCUAACCAGCAGGGCCAGGGAUAUAGCUCAGCGGCACAGCGCCUGCCUGGCAAGCACAAGGUCACGAGUUCAAUUCCUGGUACCAAAAAAAAAGAAGUAUAAUAGAUCUAAACCAGCAGUCCACCCUAACCCCCAGCACCCCAUGUGUGUCCCAUUAUGUAAAAUGCAUCUACUCCGUCUCUAAGAGUUGCCAAAGUCCAAACAGUUCCAGUACUGCUGGGUUCAAGUCCAAAGUCUCCUCUGAGACUCAAGGCAAACUCUCAGUUGUGAAACCCUGUGGACGUACAAAGGCUGAGGCCGGAGGAUCGCCCUGAGUUCAAGGCCCGCCUGGACUACAUAGUGAGACCCUGUCUGAAAAACAAAACCAAACAAAAAGGUUUUGUGGGGCUCACAGUUUUGUUGGCUGAAAGUCCCAGCAGCAAACGCUAGAGCUUGAGGCGUCCCACUGCCAUUUCGUGGCAGAUGCUUGUGUGCACCAGAGUGCUGUGGCAAGGAGACGGGAUGCCAAGGAUGGGGAGAGGCAGCUUCCUCUGUUCUAAGGGCUAGAGCCACCUGCCUCCCUGCAGGCCACGCCCCCAACAUCCUCUCUCCGGACCCCACCCUUUAAAGGGCCACGCCCCCAGCAUCCUCACCAGGGCAUGUGGACCUUCAGGGCGCACUGCUUCUAAAACACAGCAUGCCACAAGGGCAACACCCUCGCCGACCACAUGCAAGGCGGAAAACACAGAUCUGCCGCUGGAUCCUCAACACCCGUUGCAAAGGCAGCGACCCUUCCCGGGUGCCAAAGGACACUGUGACCACUGUGGCUGUGAGGACCAAGCAUCACUUCUGUUCAUUUAUUUUUCCCAAGUUCUCUAGGUCAGGGGCUGGGGAUAUAGCUCAGCGGCACAGUGCCUGCCUCGCAAGCACAAGGUCAUGAGUUUGAUUCCUGGUACCGGAAAAAAAAAAAGCAAGUUCUCUGGGGCAUCGACAAGAUGGCGCCGUGGUGGGGACAAGGCCACGUCCAGGAGUGCUGGGCGGUGCCGGUUCCCAGCGAGUUAUCAGAGGCUCCCAACAGAAGAGCAAUUAAGUUAAUGCAAAUAAUGGCUUCAUUUUUGUUCAAGUCAUGAAGUAAAAGCGAGGCUUUUGAACAUUCA